rnacentral:rRNA from 1 species
CCUACGGGAGGCUGCAGUGAGGAAUAUUGGUCAAUGGACGAGAGUCUGAACCAGCCAAGUAGCGUGAAGGAUGAAUGCUCUAUGGGUUGUAAACCUCUUUUAUAUGGGAAUAAAAUGUUCCACGUGUCGGAUUUUGUAUGUACCUUAUGAAUAAGGAUCGGCUAACUCCGUGCCAGCAGCCGCGGUAAUACGGAGGAUCCGAGCGUUAUCCGGAUUUAUUGGGUUUAAAGGGGGCGUAGGUGGAUUGUUAAGUCAGUUGUGAAAGUGUGCGGCUCAACCGUAAAAUUGCAGUUGAAACUGGCAGUCUUGAGUACGGUAGAGGUAGGCGGAAUGCGUGGUGUAGCGGUGAAAUGCUUAGAUAUCACGAAGAACUCCGAUUGCGAAGGCAGCUCGCUGGACUGCAACUGACACUGAGGCACGAAAGUGUGGGUAUCAAACAGGAUUAGAUACCCGUGUAGUC